UUGCUCACACAUCUACCUCCCACCAAACUCUAGGACUUAAACACAGCUCGUCCCCAAUGUGGCAAUGACAAGCUGUCAGUUUUCAGGACCUGCCUCUCAUUUCCAUUUAAGAAACCAUCAGAAUAGCUCUAGCUGUUAAGUUUAGAUCAAUAUUCUCUGCAGGGUCAAGAACUGGGCUCUCACUACAGCCACCACAAUCACUCCAAGCAUUCUAGGGCCAUAUAGGUACUCCCUAGCAGUGCCAGAGACUCUCUCACCCUCUACCUACUGAGCUGUAUAGUAAAACUGUCUGUAAAUCACCAGGACUAUGGUAUUUUAUUACAGCAGCCAACACAAAUGAAGACAUAAAACUGGUACUUGAUGCUGCUGUGAGAAAUGCCCAUAAGAACAGACAGCAGGCAUGGACUGAUCACUGUUCUGUAGACUGUGAUGUAAACAUGAUGCAAACAUGAAAGAUGAAGAUGGAUUGGUGUGUGGUACAAGAAAUUGGAAGACCUAAGGAGAAACCACUGUCACUUGCUCUGCCACCAGAGGGCAGUCACUGCAAACACACAGGGUCUAGAGGAGAGAUGGAGAGGAUUGAAUAAGUAGUCUGCAUAGCUUUCGGAACUGGAUCUGGAAGAGAUGGAACUCAGAGAUUGCCUCAGGCCUUCUGAUGACGUUCUGGGUAAACUCAGCCUGGCAGCCGACAUGGAAGAAGUGGGCAUGGAUUCCCCAGAGAAUUUCAACCCAGACUGGUAGGGUGU
rnacentral:lncRNA from 1 species